rnacentral:rRNA from 1 species
GCAAGUCGAGGGGCAGCAUGGUCUUAGCUUGCUAAGGCCGAUGGCGACCGGCGCACGGGUGAGUAACACGUAUCCAACCUGCCGUCUACUCUUGGACAGCCUUCUGAAAGGAAGAUUAAUACAAGAUGGCAUCAUGAGUCCGCAUGUUCACAUGAUUAAAGGUAUUCCGGUAGACGAUGGGGAUGCGUUCCAUUAGAUAGUAGGCGGGGUAACGGCCCACCUAGUCUUCGAUGGAUAGGGGUUCUGAGAGGAAGGUCCCCCACAUUGGAACUGAGACACGGUCCAAACUCCUACGGGAGGCAGCAGUGAGGAAUAUUGGUCAAUGGGCGAGAGCCUGAACCAGCCAAGUAGCGUGAAGGAUGACUGCCCUAUGGGUUGUAAACUUCUUUUAUAAAGGAAUAAAGUCGGGUAUGGAUACCCGUUUGCAUGUACUUUAUGAAUAAGGAUCGGCUAACUCCGUGCCAGCAGCCGCGGUAAUACGGAGGAUCCGAGCGUUAUCCGGAUUUAUUGGGUUUAAAGGGAGCGUAGAUGGAUGUUUAAGUCAGUUGUGAAAGUUUGCGGCUCAACCGUAAAAUUGCAGUUGAUACUGGAUAUCUUGAGUGCAGUUGAGGCAGGCGGAAUUCGUGGUGUAGCGGUGAAAUGCUUAGAUAUCACGAAGAACUCCGAUUGCGAAGGCAGCCUGCUAAGCUGCAACUGACAUUGAGGCUCGAAAGUGUGGGUAUCAAACAGGAUUAGAUACCCUGGUAGUCCACACGGUAAACGAUGAAUACUCGCUGUUUGCGAUAUACAGCAAGCGGCCAAGCGAAAGCGUUAAGUAUUCCACCUGGGGAGUACGCCGGCAACGGUGAAACUCAAAGGAAUUGACGGGGGCCCGCACAAGCGGAGGAACAUGUGGUUUAAUUCGAUGAUACGCGAGGAACCUUACCCGGGCUUAAAUUGCAGAUGAAUUACGGUGAAAGCCGUAAGCCGCAAGGCAUCUGUGAAGGUGCUGCAUGGUUGUCGUCAGCUCGUGCCGUGAGGUGUCGGCUUAAGUGCCAUAACGAGCGCAACCCUUGUUGUCAGUUACUAACAGGUUCCGCUGAGGACUCUGACAAGACUGCCAUCGUAAGAUGUGAGGAAGGUGGGGAUGACGUCAAAUCAGCACGGCCCUUACGUCCGGGGCUACACACGUGUUACAAUGGGGGGUACAGAGGGCCGCUACCACGCGAGUGGAUGCCAAUCCCAAAAACCUCUCUCAGUUCGGACUGGAGUCUGCAACCCGACUCCACGAAGCUGGAUUCGCUAGUAAUCGCGCAUCAGCCACGGCGCGGUGAAUACGUUCCCGGGCCUUGUACACACCGCCCGUCAAGCCAUGGGAGCCGGGGGUACCUGAAGUG